rnacentral:rRNA from 1 species
AGGUGGUGGCAUGGUUGUCGUCAGCUCGUGUCGUGAGAUGUUGGUUAAGUCCCGCAACGAGCGCAACCCUCGACCUUAGUUGCCAGCAUUCAGUUGGGCACUCUAAGGUGGACUGCCGGCUAAAAGUCGGAGGAAGGUGGGGAGUGACGUCAAAUCAUCAUGCCCCUUAUGACCUGGGCUACACACGUGCUACAAUGGGCGGUACAAAGGGUCGCGAACCCGCGAGGGGGAGCCAAUCCCAAAAAGCCGCUCUCAGUUCGGAUUGCAGGCUGCAACUCGCCUGCAUGAAGCCGGAAUCGCUAGUAAUCGCGGAUCAGCAUGCCGCGGUGAAUACGUUCCCAGGCCUU